rnacentral:rRNA from 1 species
UGAGGAAUAUUGGUCAAUGGGGGAAACCCUGAACCAGCGACGCCGCGUGUGGGAUUGACGGGGCUUUGCCCUGUAAACCACUGUCAGACGGGAGGAAAAGUCCGUUCGGCGGACCGGGACAGUACCGUCAGAGGAAGGACCGGCUAACUACGUGCCAGCAGCCGCGGUAAUACGUAGGGUCCAAGCGUUGUCCGGAUUUACUGGGUGUAAAGGGUGCGUAGGCGGAUUUGUGCGUCAGAGGUUAAAGCCCACGGCUCAACUGUGGAACAGCCUUUGAUACGGCAAGUCUUGAGUAUGAGAGAGGAUGGUAGAAUUCCUGGUGUAGCGGUGAAAUGCGUAGAUAUCAGGAGGAAUACCAGUGGCGAAGGCGGCCAUCUGGCUCAUUACUGACGCUGAGGCACGAAAGCGUGGGGAGCAAACA